rnacentral:rRNA from 1 species
CCUACGGGAGGCUGCAGUGGGGAAUAUUGCACAAUGGGGGAAACCCUGAUGCAGCGACGCCGCGUGAGUGAAGAAGUAUCUCGGUACGUAAAGCUCUAUUAGUAGGGAAGAAAAUGACGGUACCUGACUAAGAAGCCCCGGCCAAUUACGUGCCAGCAGCCGCGGUAACACGUAGGGGGCAAGCGUUAUCCGGAUUUACUGGGGGUAAAGGGAGCGUAGACGGGAGUACAAGGCUGGAGUGAAAUCCCGGGGCUGAACCCCGGAACUGCUUUGGAAACUGUGCGGCUGGAGUGCAGGAGGGGUAAGCGGAAUUCCUGGUGUAGCGGUGAAAUGCGUAGAUAUUAGGAAGAACACCGGUGGCGAAGGCAGCUUACUGGACUGAAACUGACGUUGAGGCUCGAAAGCGUGGGGAGCAAACAGGAUUAGAUACCCGUGUAGUC